AUGAAGCUUAAUAUAGUAUCCGGGCCUAAGGUCUUGAGUUCAAGUUCCGACUUUCUCAAUUUAUCCAAAAAUAACUUGGGUUGUGUUAUAAAUGCUCUGGCUAAACCUAUUGAUGGGAGAGGCGAAAUUGUAGCUUAUGAAUCUUGCUUAAUUGAAUCUCCUGCUCCAAGUAGAAUUUCCAGGCGUUCCAUAUACGAACCUCUUCAAACAGGGCUUAUUGCUAUCGAUUCGAUGAUCCCUAUAGGGCGCGGUCAGCGAGAGUUCAUUAUUGGGGACAGACAGACUGGCAAAACACUAGUAGCCACAGAUACAAUUAUCAAUAAAAAAGGGAAAGAUGUAAGAAGAACGAGAGCGAGCCUUCACGAAAGAAAAUGCAAGUGA
rnacentral:rRNA from 1 species